ACAGUCUAUGAAUUUUUGUUAGCUGGGAACAUAUAUUAGAUGAAGAAUAGCAGCGAGUACUUAUAUAUCUAACUUCGCCACUGUAAUCUAUAGAAAUUAAGAGAAGCCCGGUACCAUGUUUCUCUUUAAAUAGGAAACGACGCCGUCAGUACAAAUACUUUGAGAAUUGGGAUGAAAUGGCCACAAAGAGCAUAUAAAGGUUAUGCAGAAUGAUAUAUUAAUGUUCUUGAAGUGGUCCUCUUUGAAACUUGUAUGACUAUCAUCUAAUUAAUGAAGUUUAGCAAAAUAAAUGCAUUGAGGUUUCAAUGAAAAUUCUACAAGCAUUUUAUAAGUUAAGAAAUGGAAAAUAAAUGACUUCUACUUUGCACGAUAGAGGAAGAUGCAAGAUAUAGAAAUAUGAGACACAAUUGUUGUUUCAGUUGCGUUUUUAAAAUAGAUUUUGGAUUCUUGGUUAAUGCAUCCCGAAGCUUUUCUAAUUAAUUUUUCUUAUACUCAUGCAGGCUUGAUGAUGUUGUUGGAUUACACCUAAUGAAUUUAGAUUGCUUUUGGGGUUUUGAAGAUUAAUGUUACAAGACAAGAUGCAAGUUUAGAAGAUGCACGACCUCAUUAUUAUUUUUCUAGGAAUGUUAUGUAGAACUCGGUAUCAUAGUCUAGAUCAGGUUGUUAGCAAUGUUUUUUUACUAAGGUGUCGAGCAAAUAUUGAAACUAACAUCAUGGGAUGUUAACCAUUUUAUUGUAAUUAAUAUAACUUUCGUCCUCUC